rnacentral:sRNA from 1 species
UAGAAAACACUGGAGACUAAAGCUCUCUUGUUCACAGGACAGUUACAGCAAAGGGAACAAGGGUACUGCACACUUCCUCCACAGUAGCCUGCCAAUGUGCCUCAGAUUUCACCUGGAGGAAGCAUCUAUAGAAAGUAGCUUAGCCUCUGUGCCCAUUCAUCCUCUCUACU